UACAGAGGGUGCGAGCGUUAAUCGGAAUUACUGGGCGUAAAGCGCACGUAGGUGGCGACGUAAGUCGGGUGUGAAAGCCCCGGGCUCAACCUGGGAAUUGCAUUCGAGACUGCAUUGCUGGAGUACGGAAGAGGAAGGCGGAAUUCCCGGUGUAGCGGUGAAAUGCGUAGAUAUCGGGAGGAACAUCAGUGGCGGAGGCGGCCUUCUGGUCCAGUACUGACACUCAAGUGCGAAAGCGUGGGGAGCAAACAGG
rnacentral:rRNA from 1 species